GAUGAACGCUGGCGGCGUGCUUAACACAUGCAAGUCGAACGAAGCACUUUAUUUGAUUUCCUUCGGGACUGAUUAUUUUGUGACUGAGUGGGGACCGGGUAGUUACGGCGGGGUUACCUUCCCUUGUAAAGGGGGUAACAGUUUGAAAAGGGCUCUUAUUACGGAAUAGCGGACAGGCAUCGAUUGUUGCGGUGUGAAAAACUCCGUUGGUAUAAGAUGGACCCGCGUUGGAUUAGCUAGUUGGUGAGGUAACGGCCCACCAAGGCGACGAUCCAUAGCCGACCUGAGAGGGUGACCGGCCACAUUGGGACUGAGACACGGCCCAAACUCCUACGGGAGGCAGCAGUGGGGAAUAUUGCACAAUGGGCGAAAGCCUGAUGCAGCGACGCCGCGUGAGCGAAGAAGUAUUUCGGUAUGUAAAGCUCUAUCAGCAGGGAAGAUAAUGACGGUACCUGACUAAGAAGCACCGGCUAAAUACGUG
rnacentral:rRNA from 1 species